rnacentral:rRNA from 1 species
AUAUUGCACAAUGGGCGCAAGCCUGAUGCAGCCAUGCCGCGUGUACGAAGAAGGUUUUCGGAUCGUAAAACUCUGUUGUUAGAGAAGAACGUUGCAUAGAGUGGAAAAUUAUGCAAGUGACGGUAUCUAACCAGAAAGGGACGGCUAACUACGUGCCAGCAGCCGCGGUAAUACGUAGGUCCCGAGCGUUGGCCGGAUUUAUUGGGCGUAAAGCGAGCGCAGGUGGUUUAAUAAGUCUGAUGUAAAAGGCAGUGGCUCAACCAUUGUGUGCAUUGGAAACUGUUAGACUUGAGUGCAGUAGAGGAGAGUGGAAUUCCAUGUGUAGCGGUGAAAUGCGUAGAUAUAUGGAGGAACGCCGGUGGCGAAAGCGGCUCUCUGGACUGUCACUGACACUGAGGCUCGAAAGCGUGGGUAGCAAAC